AAAAAAAUAAAGGAAAGCUAGUUAAAUUAUUUAGAAUCUUAAUUUCUUACACUAGUCUUGUGAAUUAUUAUUAUGAACACGAUCUGUAUUAUCCACGAUUUUUUUUCUGAGUGAAAAAUAAUUUAGGUGCAGCAACGACUGGUAAUAACAAUUUGAGAAAUAUAUAUAAUAUCUUCUAUGGAACAUAUUAAAUCAGGAAAACUUAAUAUCCAUUUUAUUAAUAAGCAUUUAUUUGAUAUAAAUUAAUUAUAGUUACAUCUAGUAAUAACUUGACCUCACUGAACAUUAAAAAUAAGCAACCGAACAUCAAAAAUGUUAAUUUUGAACACAUGAAUAAAUAAAAAUUCGCCUACUGCUCACAAGUGGUUGCUCAAACCAGGAAAAUCUUCAGGUUAAAGUUAGUUAACUCUAGGUCCAACUGAGACGCAGUUACGUGCAUGGUGAAAUGAAAUUAUGGAAUCUAACCUGGAAUUGCUUUCAUAAAACCUAAGGGUUAGUUUCCAUGGUGAAUACGGGUAAAUAUUUUUAUGCUCACUGUUCUGUUCAUACUACUGACUAAUUCAUUUUCGUUGUAAGUUUAUACAGAUAAUGUUCAAAUGAUCUGUUCACUAUUAUUUUAAUUUUUGUUAUUAAUCUCAUUGUCUAACUUUAUUUAACAAUUUUUAUAGAAAAGUAUUUUAACUGUCUUAUCCAGAGCUUUUAAUAUCAAAUCUAUUUGUGAUUUUUUUUCUUUUAAUACAAUUGGAUAUAAGACAUUCAAUAUCAUGAGACUUAAAAGUAGAGACUUUACUAAUGGUGGCUAUAAUUGGCUGAAUGUUAGGUUUUCUUGCCAUGACAUUCUGUUUAACAGCCAACUGUUGUAUACAUUUUCAGAAUACUUCUUGCAUAUGUUACAAUUAGAAUAAACAAUUUUUUAUAAAAA